rnacentral:rRNA from 1 species
AGUGAACGCUGGCGGCGUGCCUAAUACAUGCAAGUCGAACGGAGUGGCGCACGGGUGGGUAAUAUAUAGCUAACUUGCCCAUUACUAAGGGACAACAGUUGGAAACGACUGCUAAUACCUUAUAGUAAUGGAUAGGGCUAUAUCGUAUCAGCUAGUUGGUAAGGUAACGGCUUACCAAGGCUAUGACGCGUAACUGGUCUGAGAGGAUGAGCAGUAAAACUGGAACGGAGGCACGGUACAGAAACAUACGGGAGGCAGCGGGAGGGAAGAGUGCUCAAGGGGGGAAAGCCUGAAGAAGCAACGCCGCGUGGAGGAUGACACUUUUCGGAGCGUAAAAUCCUUUUAUUGGGAAAGCGGUACCCAAAGAAUAAGCACCGGCUAACUCCGUGCCAGCAGCCGCGGUAAUUC